GGCCUCACAAACAGCCUGCAUAAGCAACAGACUGAUGAAAAAAAGGCCUACAUAAAGACUAGACUGAUAGAAAAAGUGCCUGUGGGUGAGCCCAGAGGGUUCCAAGUCAUUGGAUGACAAGGUGAAGGAAGCUGAAUUUUUUACUUUGGAAGUUAAAUCUUCCAUGCAAAUGAUAACACUAGGCAAAGAAUAAAGUAUUUGAGAAAUUAACAAGUGGCUGUCAAAGACUAACCAGGAAAACUGCAGCAAAAACAACAUGCAGUUUUACAUUGAUUGAACUUACACAUUAGCUUCAUGCACUAUCAAAGUCUUGAACUUGCACAGAUAAAAAUUUUGUUCAUAAUUUGUAGAUACUGUCUGACAAAAGGAUAAGAAAUGAAUCAUACAUUGUCAACAACAACUUGAUCUUAGUCAAUUUGCUAAAUACAUUUUCUCUCUUCUCCUUUUGAAAUUUCAAAACAAAAUUCAAAGAGAGACUUCCAUGUAAGCAAAUAAAAGGAUUUCUGUGUGUAUGGAUGUUAUUAACGCUCAUAGGUUAUGGAAAUAUACUUGUGUUUGUACAUAUAUGCUCGCGCACACAGGUAGAAAAGUACAAUGAAACUGAGCAAAUAGGAUGUCUAAUGUGUAACUUUUUAUACCCUUACAUUAGGCAGAAACCUAAUCUGAGUACAUAAACAUAGACAGAAAGACUGAGGAAGACAACAUAGGAUUUAAGAUAAUUUUAAAGUAUUUUUUUUCAUGUUUCUCCCUAGUUUUAUUUCAUACUCACACAUUAAAAUAUGCAAUAUCGCUUCUAAUACAAGUUUAAUUUCCUUUUCAUUUCUUCAGGUAUGACAUCUACAUAUAUGUUAGGUUUAUCCACUUAGAAAGAGUAUAUUUAUUAAGUGAUUUAGGAAAGCAGUUGUCAAAUUUGAAACCUGUCUUUUUUUAUGGUACAGCAAGUAGUAAUAUACCGAAUCUUCUAGGCUUACACCCCUGCAUUUAAAUUAAAUUCUCUAUCAGAAAUGCUUGAAUAGAUUAAAUGUGCAUAUAAAACCUAAGAUUAACUGGCAAGCAGAAGUUAGAUCACACCUGGUCAGAAAGUUCAGAUACUGAGUAGUCAUGGGCCUCCACUGC